rnacentral:rRNA from 1 species
GUGGGGGAUAUUGCACAAUGGAGGAAACUCUGAUGCAGCGACGCCGCGUGAGUGAAGAAGUAUUUCGGUAUGAAAAGCUCUAUCAGCAGGGAAGAUAAUGACAGUACCUGACUAAGAAGCCCCGGCUAACUACGUGCCAGCAGCCGCGGUAAUACGUAGGGGGCAAGCGUUAUCCGGAUUUACUGGGUGUAAAGGGAGCGUAGACGGAAUGGCAAGUCUGAAGUGAAAUCCUGCGGCUUAACUGCAGAAUUGCUUUGGAAACUGUCAAUCUGGAGUGUUGGAGAGGUAAGCGGAAUUCCUGGUGUAGCGGUGAAAUGCGUAGAUAUCAGGAAGAACACCGGAGGCGAAGGCGGCUUACUGGACAAUAACUGACGUUGAGGCUCGAAAGCGUGGGAAGCAAACAGGAUUAGAAACCCGGGUAGUCC